AGUCGAGGGGCAGCAUUUCAGUUUGCUUGCAAACUGGAGAUGGCGACCGGCGCACGGGUGAGUAACACGUAUCCAACCUGCCGAUAACUCGGGGAUAGCCUUUCGAAAGAAAGAUUAAUACCCGAUAGUAUAAUGAAACCGCAUGGUCUUAUUAUUAAAGAAUUUCGGUUAUCGAUGGGGAUGCGUUCCAUUAGGCAGUUGGUGAGGUAACGGCUCACCAAACCUUCGAUGGAUAGGGGUUCUGAGAGGAAGGUCCCCCACAUUGGAACUGAGACACGGUCCAAACUCCUACGGGAGGCAGCAGUGAGGAAUAUUGGUCAAUGGGCGCAGGCCUGAACCAGCCAAGUAGCGUGAAGGAUGACUGCCCUAUGGGUUGUAAACUUCUUUUAUAUGGGAAUAAAGUUUUCCACGUGUGGAAUUUUGUAUGUACCAUAUGAAUAAGGAUCGGCUAACUCCGUGCCAGCAGCCGCGGUAAUACGGAGGAUCCGAGCGUUAUCCGGAUUUAUUGGGUUUAAAGGGAGCGUAGGUGGACAGUUAAGUCAGUUGUGAAAGUUUGCGGCUCAACCGUAAAAUUGCAGUUGAUACUGGCUGUCUUGAGUACA
rnacentral:rRNA from 1 species